ensembl:lncRNA
UCCCAUUUGUAAUGCCUAUAAAAUUAUGCAGAGUGGACCACUGCAAUAUACCUAAUAAACCAUCUGGCAUUGCUUUUGUUUUUCCCAGAAACUGCCUAGCACACAUUAUACCAAAAGGAGUGCAUCUGCCUACACACAGAGCACACAGACCGGCUUGCUCACUGAAGUUUUCCCUACUGAAGAGUUCAAGGAUGGGCCAAAGUGAGGAUGGAAGGUCUUGCCCUGCAGUGAGGGUACUGGGAAGACACCACAUUCAGAGGUUUGAGAAUCAGUAAGGAAGCCAGUCUCUAGUGCACCAACCAGGUCAUUGUCUCCUACUUGGAUUAAAUCCUUCCCAUCCUUCCGUCCCAAAGUCCCAGCAUCCUUGCAACAUGUUGUAUAAAAUUAAGAGGUUAAAAAGAAGAAAGGAUAUUUGCAGAACAUUUGGAAAUACAUCUAAAUAUUGGGAUACUAUACUGGGUAGACCAAAUAACUUUGUGAUUAUUUCUCUGUCCUAUUUAAAACAAUAAAAAGAAUUCAAUAGUUACCUGUCCCUCUAGA